rnacentral:rRNA from 1 species
UCAAGCGAGCAGUGAAAUCUUGUGGCUCAACCAUAAGGCUAUUGUUCGAACUGAUAAACUCGAGAAUGGAAGAGGUAUCUGGAAUUCCCAGUGUAGGAGUGAAAUCCGUAGAUAUUGGGAGGAACACCAAUGGCGUAGGCAGGAUACUGGUCCAUUUCUGACGCUAAGGCACGAAAGCGUGGGGAGCGAACGGGAUUAGAUACCCCGGUAGUCCACGCCGUAAACUAUGGAUGCUA